AAAAAAAAAAAAAAAAAAAAAAAAAAAAAAAAAAACAACCAAAAACAAACUAAAGCCAUUCCCUGAUCCUCCCCCAAAAAAAACCUCCUAAAAAAGCAAGUCCAAAAGGAUCUCAAAUGCCCGGUCUGGUUUUGUCCUACAUGGUUGACAAGAGUGUUUUGGCAUAGCUGCAGCCCAACCAUGUCCCUUUAAGGAGCACCGUGGCUCGUUUCCUCCUCAGGACCCCGAGCUGAGGGUUUUGCUGUUCCUGAUCAGAGCUCCUGCAGCCUUAGUUGGAGUCCAGAGUGAGGGGAGCCCUUCCAGCUGUGCACUUUGAGCUGAAAACUACCUUUCCUCCCCUUUUGCAGCCUGGGUGGUUCUGAUUGCUGGCAGUUCUGUAAUACAACCUUAAUCUGAGCAGUUGAGGCUGGUCCUACCUUAUCUUCAGACGUCUUGCGGAGGACUCCUGUUACCAGUUUGGUACUCAAAAGCUACACCCCACCACCAGAAGUCACUUUUUGUUUUUUUCCAAAGGCAGUGAUAGCUCACCCUCUCUAGCGCUAAUGGAAAACCUGAUAAUUGCAAUGCAACUUUCUAAUAAAUUGUUCAUAUAUUCAUAAUUCCGUUGCAAUCCCAAAUUGGAGAAGAGAUCUGUUAAAGUGCACUGGUGUACCAAGCCUCAGAACCACUGCUUUCUCCAGCUCAUAGGAUGCUUUUCCAGACUGUGGAUACGUGUAUGUGUACUGCUGUGUUGAUAAGUAAAUGCCAACGAUGGAGUUCGUUGCUUUUAUACAUCCCAAAGAGAAGUUCUCCACCGUUCCCUGUUUUCUGACCGAAAAGGCAUGUGUUUGUGAACAGUGUUCACGCCAGCUCUGCCAUCCCACCCUCACAUCAGCUCACACCAAUGCCAGGAUGGGAGGAGUUGCCUGCGUACCUUCCCAAAACACCCCGGGCCGCAGUGGCAUCGUCAGGGAGCAGUUCAAACCUGUGUCCUUUGGGCUUUGUGUAAAGCAAAUGCAGAACAAGAAAAAUUGAGAUGUUAAAUCCAUUAGAAAACCAAUUCCUUAUUGUACAGUAGUAUGGAGAUCUCUAGUCAACCUGCCAUUAAUAAUAGAUUCUUAUUUUUUGAAUGAUCUAUUUAAAAGAACAGCAAGCAUUGUAUUUGCUAGUAAAUCUGAAGUGUUUACAUGGAAUUACUAAAUAAAUUAUUUGAUCUAA